CCUACGGGCGGCUGCAGCGGGGAAUAUUGCACAAUGGGCGCAAGCCUGAUGCAGCCAUGCCGCGUGUGUGAAGAAGGCCUUCGGGUUGUAAAGCACUUUCAGCGGGGAGGAAGGCGUUAAGGUUAAUAACCUUGUCGAUUGACGUUACCCGCAGAAGAAGCACCGGCUAACUCCGUGCCAGCAGCCGCGGUAAUACGGAGGGUGCAAGCGUUAAUCGGAAUUACUGGGCGUAAAGCGCACGCAGGCGGUCUGUCGAGUCGGAUGUGAAAUCCCCGGGCUCAACCUGGGAACUGCAUUCGAAACUGGCAGGCUAGAGUCUUGUAGAGGGGGGUAGAAUUCCAGGUGUAGCGGUGAAAUGCGUAGAGAUCUGGAGGAAUACCGGUGGCGAAGGCGGCCCCCUGGACAAAGACUGACGCUCAGGUGCGAAAGCGUGGGGAGCAAACAGGAUUAGAUACCCCGGUAGUC
rnacentral:rRNA from 1 species